rnacentral:rRNA from 1 species
CGUAGGGGGCAAGCGUUGUCCGGAUUUAUUGGGCGUAAAGCGCGUGUAGGCGGCUUGGCAAGUCCGCUGUGGAAACUCGAGGCUCAACCUCGAGAUGUCGGUGGAAACUGCUUGGCUAGAGUCCGGAAGAGGAGUGUGGAAUUCCUGGUGUAGCGGUGAAAUGCGCAGAUAUCAGGAAGAACACCUAUGGCGAAGGCAGCACUCUGGGACGGUACUGACGCUGAGACGCGAAAGCGUGGGGAGCGAACAGGAUUAGAUACCCUGGUAGUCCACGCCGUAAACGAUGGAUGCUAGGUGUGGGCGGUGUCGACUCCGUCCGUGCCGAAGCUAACGCAUUAAGCAUCCCGCCUGGGGAGUACGGCCGCAAGGCUA